rnacentral:misc_RNA from 1 species
AAAGUGCGAUAAGCACUGUGAAUUGCAGAAUUUAGCGAAUCAGCAGAUCUCUUAACGCAAAUGGUGUCAGGUAAACUUGUUUGCUUGACAGUCAUGCUUCAGUAUUGCACUUUAUGCACUAAACACGCAUUUUUGCUGCCUCGAUUCGUCGUUGGCAGUGCUUGGUUCGCUAAGUCAAACUGGCGAAUGGGAAUAGCUCGACGUUAAUAACUUGUUUACUAAAUGUCAGAGUAACUGCUAAUCAAUCUGAAGUAUGUCAGACUACCCGCUGAACUUAA